rnacentral:rRNA from 1 species
GAUGAACGCUAGCUACAGGCUUAACACAUGCAAGUCGAGGGGCAGCAUGAACUUAGCUUGCUAAGUUUGAUGGCGACCGGCGCACGGGUGAGUAACACGUAUCCAACCUGCCGAUGACUCGGGGAUAGCCUUUCGAAAGAAAGAUUAAUACCCGAUGGCAUAGUUCUUCCGCAUGGUAGAACUAUUAAAGAAUUUCGGUUCAUCGAUGGGGAGUGCGUUCCAUUAGGUUGUUGGCGGGGUAACGGGCCCACCAAGCCUUCGAUGGAUAGGGGUUCGUGAGAGGAAGGUCCCCCCGACCAUUGGAACUGAGACACGGUCCAAACUCCUACGGGAGGCAGCAGUGAGGGAAUAAUUGGUCAAUGGACGAGAGUCUGAACCAGCCAAGUAGCGUGAAGGGAUGACUGCCCCUAUGGGGUUUGUAAAACUUCUUUUUAUAC